rnacentral:rRNA from 1 species
UACGUAGGUGGCAAGCGUUGUUCGGAAUUAUUGGGCGUAAAGGGCGCGUAGGCGGCUUGUUAAGUCGGCUGUGAAAAGCCCCGGGGGCUCAACCCCCGGAGGGUCAGCCGAUACUGGCAGGCUAGAGUACGGAAGAGGUAGCUGGAAUUCCCCGGUGUAGCGGUGAAAAUGCGUAGAUAUCGGGGAGGAACACCUGAGGCGAAGGCGGGCUACUGGGCCGAUACUGACGCUGAUGCGCGAAAGCCAGGGGGAGCGAACGGG